CUCCAAAUUCUGCAAGUCCAAAAAGGUCUUGGUCGUCACACACAGGACCUAUUUCUCUGACCAGGACUGAACCUGGACUUUCUGCAUUGGCAGCAUGGAUUUGUAGCCACUGGACCGUCAGAGAAAUUCCAAAAUGCUUUGUCUGCUUUUUCAGGUGAUUUCCAGGAGAACAGGGAAGCGUAAACUUGAGGCCAUCAUCUUCAAAGUGGAAGGAUACAGGUCGAGAAAAACAACACGCAUGUUGGAAGGAGGCCGGAUACUGGAUGGGCAUAGCCUCACUCCCCCUCCCUCAUGUUCACCUUACUAAAGAAGCAGUAAUGGCUCCCCAGCGUGCAAAGCACUGAAAUGACUAACAGCUGAGCAGGCGACAACCAAGCGGAGCAGGGCCCUGGCUGUGUUCCCACCGCUAAGUCAUGCAGAAGAGGCCAUCUUUACCUCCUCCGAGCCUCCACAGCAGCUAAUGCUAUUAGGAUAAAAGAUGGGUCCAUUUGGGCCCUAAACCUUGAUGUUCAGGUACUCUACAAGGUCAGUGACUGGAGAGAAUGCAAGAGCUGAAGCAGGAGUUUCCAGAGAAGAGGCUGAGCAGCUGUCAAGAAUCAAGAAAUACACCACUCUGGGUAUGUAUGCAUAUUUUAACCAAACAGUCUAUUUCUUCAAAGGACUGCAAAGGGCAAAAGCUUGCCUUCCUUCUAACUUU
ensembl:lncRNA